GAGGCGCGCUGCCACUUGGAGUAGCGCUUCCUGGUUGCCUGGGAUUUGCCGCUCCCCCAGGAGGUAACUCCGAAGUUCAUUUCUGCAGGUGCCCGGCCACAGCCUCGAGUUCACUUCCAGAGGAGAGCCCUGCGGCUGCCUGAGAACACCAGCUACAGCGACCUGACGGCCUUCCUCACGGCCGCCAGCGCCCCGUCCGAGGUGGACAGUUUUCCUUAUCUGCGAGGCUUGGAUGGAAAUGGAACAGGAAACGGCACCAGGUAUGACCUGACCCCAGUCACGGCCGUCAGCGUCCACUUGCUCAGCAGCGAUGGAACACCGGUGCUGGUGGAUGGUCCUAUUUACGUCACCGUGCCCCUGGCCACACAGAGCAUUCUGAGGCACAAUGCUUAUGUCGCCGCGUGGCGGUUUGACCAGAAGCUGGGUUCUGUCGUCUCUCUUGGUCAUGUGGUUUUUAAGUUUAAUGAAGAAGGAAAAACAUUGCCAACAACGUCCCAAGAGAAACUAAAAUGACCCAUAAUCCCCCCACCUAGAGAAGACCACUAAUCGUAUUUGGCAUUAUAUCCUUCCAGUUAUUUCACCCUCACGUAUGUGUUAGUUAUUUGUCGCUGUACAACAAAUUGCCCUAAGACUCAGCAGCUUCAAACAACAGUGAGCAUCUCUUAUCUCACAUUUCUGGAGGAUCAGGAGUCCAGGGACAACCUAGCUGGGUGGUUUCUGGGUCAGGUCCUCCGGCAAGGUUGCCGUCAGGCUGCCAACCAGGGCUGUGUUCAUCUCGGGGUCGGGUGGGGGCUGGUGACCGUGCUUCCCAUCCCGCAGGGCUGUUACAGGCCUCAGCUCCUCACUAGCUGUUGGUCUGUUGGUCGGAGGCUUUCAUUCCUUGCCCUGGGGGUCCCUCCAUAGGGCUGCUCACAACGUGGCAGCUUGCGUUCACUGGAGCAAAUGAUCCAAGAGAAAAAAAUAAAAUAAAAUACAGAAGCACAAGUGGGCAAAAUGGAAGUCACAGUCUUUUACAACCUAAUGUCAAAGUGUGACACACCAUCGCUUCUUUCCAGAUGCUGUUGGUCCCAAGGCCCAACAUAGGUACAGGGUGGGGUGGACUGCACAAGCAUGUGAACACCAGCAGGUGGGGAUCCCUUGGCACUCUUAGAAAGGCUGCCUUCUGCAAAAUAUAUUUUUAACAGGAAUGGGAUAUAUGCUAUAAUACUGUUCUGUAACUUGCCUUUAAAAACCACUUGCGUAUCAUAAACAUCUUUAUGUAGCAUCAGCUGUGAGACUGCAAUGUCAAAAUUAAUGAUUGCGUAGUAUUUCAUUAUGUCGAUGUGUCAUAAUUUGGUUGCUCUGUGCCCUAUAAUUAGAGAAAACAUUACUAUUCUUACCAGUGUUGUGAAAAAUAUCUUUGUAGCUAAAUCUUUAGGCAUGGCCAUGGUUGUUUCCUUAGGAUAAAAUUUUAGAGGAAGUGAUACUGCUGGAUUAAAAAUGUAUGAAAUUCUAAAGCUUUUAAUACAUCUUUCCAGAUUGUUCUCUAGGAAGUUUUAUAGUUGAUGCUCUUCACAACAAUAUGGGCACACAUGCUUGUGUGCUUAGAUUUUCAUACCAUCUUCGUUCUUAUACCCCUUCGGUACCCCGUCCCUUGAAAGUCAAGCUUGAAAAUGCCAGUUUUCAGAUGCCCUCAUCCAGAAUUUUAAAGCAUUAGACCAUGCAUAAAGAUUAUUGGGAGAUGUUUGAUGUCAAAUGUAUUUUCAAAGAUACCUAAUUCGAUGAGGAGUCAAAUCAUAGUUCUGGGAGGGGUGCCUGGGUGGUUCAGAUGGUUAAGCAUCUGCCUUCGGCUCAGGU